GUUCCCGUAGCUCAGUGGAUAGAGCACCAACCUCCUAAGUUGGGUUUUGCGGAGGUUCGACUCCUCUCGGGAACACCA
rnacentral:tRNA from 1 species